CCUUGGAGAUAUUGACUAUAAUAUUUAUGAGUUUUACACUUUGACAAGUUAUAGAUCAAGUUACCAUUUUGUUCCAGUACAAAGAAUGUUUAAUGUCGUAUUCCUAACUUGGUACAGGCAUUUUCUUAUGUUAAAAAUGAUUGAUUAAACCUGGUUUUUAAGCUAGCUUAAGCGAUCACUUGUAUGACAGCUGCAUCAAUUUCCAUUAAACUGACAACGAUAUGUGAACAAAGCAAAAGAAACAUUAAAAGGCAUAUAAACAAAGAACAUUUGCAAAAUAAAAGAUGAGGAUACAAAAAUGUUUUACAAUAUAUAGCACAGUAACAUGAUGUAUAAAUAUAGAGCCAGGUCAUGUGUAUCAAAGAAAUACCAAAGAACAUAUAGACAAAGCACAUUAGCAAACAUCCUAUAUCUUACCUCAACCAAUUCAUAAUUAACAAAGUGAAGAUCUGCACUGAUGUAUGAAAUGAUUAUAAGGUGUACACGGGGGUCCGAGACCAGUAGAAUUUGUCAGCUUGUGGUCCGACGGACCAGUAGAAAUUUUCGUUAAAAGCACUGAUUGCAUCUCUAUCUCGGUUUGUUUACAAAAAAAUAAACCCGAGAAAUUAUUUUUACCUAGGGUACUGGGGAUACUAUUUUAAAAGUAUUUAAUUAAUAUCUCAGGUGAGCGUACUACACAACAACACAAAAUGUGGAAAUUUUUGGAUGGAGUUAAAACGUCGGGCAAAACAAAUUAAUUAAGCGACAUUCAAAAGGAAGAUUUUUCAAACUGACAAAAGAAAACGUAAAUAUAAAAUAUCCUGGGAAAAAGAUCUCGAAUGGUUAAAUUGUAAAGUCGGUCGUAAUGUAAUGCAUUGUUAAACAUGUGAACAAUUUGCAGUGACGGACCUAGAUGAGAAAUGUAUUUUUGUAACGGGAUCUUCAAAUUUAAAGUAAGAUUUUGUACUGGCUCAUGAACAAACAGAACAGCACAAAAAUCUACUGGAAUAAAGAAGAGGAAAGCAGUUGAGGAAAAUAAAAUUAAACAUCUGUCAUAUCUUUUAGUGGUUAUCAAAUGAAUGUCAUUUUUGCAGGACCAGUAAAUUUUGAGCCGGACCAGUAGAUUUUAAGUCCACUAGUCCGGCUGGCCAGUACACUAAAACGCUUAAAUUCGACCCCUG
rnacentral:lncRNA from 1 species